rnacentral:rRNA from 1 species
UAGGGAAUCUUGCGCAAUGGGCGAAAGCCUGACGCAGCGACACCGUGUGAAGGAUGAAGGUCUUCGGAUUGUAAACUUCUGUCAAUUGGAGACGAAGGUAACAGGGUUAAUAGCCUCUGUUACUGACGGUAUUCAAUAAGGAAGUCUCGGCUAACUCCGUGCCAGCAGCCGCGGUAAGACGGAGGAGGCAAGCGUUGUCCGGAAUUAUUGGGCGUAAAGAGCGCGUAGGUGGUUUUUCAAGUCAUGUGUGAAAACUUCAGGCUCAACUUGAAGAUUGCACAUGAAACUGGAUAACUUGAGUACAGCAGAGGAAAGUGGAGUUCCUGGUGUAGCGGUGAAAUGCGCAGAUAUCAGGAGGAACACCGGUGGCGAAGGCGGCUUUCUGGGCUGUCACGUGACG